CGCGGGGACAGUCGGGCCUGGGGGCGGGGACGUCCGUGACCUUCUGUCGCGUUGUCAAGGGCGAUGGGCCUUGCGUGCUUGGCUGUCCCAGGCCCUCGCCCACCUACGGGGCCUCAGUUUGUGCAUCCCAGUCAGAAAGCAGAAGUGAUGCAAAGAUGGCCAGAUCAGUGAAAGGCGGCUUAAAUCUCCAAUGGAACACUAUGCCAAUGCAGGAAGUCUGACCUACUGCCACAGCACGGAUGAACCUUGAGGGCUUCAUGCUGUGUGAGAGAAGCCAGCCACAGAAAGACAAAUACUGUGAGGUGCACUAACAGAAGCACGAACUUCUGGACAAGUGUCUACCUUCUUUCCCCUCACUGGACAACAUCCUUGGAACUCCUAGCAGAGGACAGGCUUGGGGUUGUAGGUGUUUCUUGGCCUGCAUAGGUCCCAGGGUUGAUGGGAUUUUCUCCCAAUUUCAUGGACCCUCUUAAAGGUCUCGUACAGCAGGAAUUGAACGCUGUGUGUGUGCACUAGGGCUGCUGGAUAUGGGCAUCAUUUCUUUUUCUCUGAUGCCACAGUAAACUGGGGGCACCAGAUACAGGCAGGCUGAGUAUCAGAGUAUCGUCCUCUGUAGGGACUUGGUUUCCACGGUCUGUGAAAUUUUAGGAAUUAUGAUGUAGUGCCGCCCAACUCCACAUUGGAGUAGGGAGGGGAGGCAGGUGUGGAGGAUGUUUUUCACAGCUGGGGGCUGCUCCUUUUGAGCACGGGUAGGGUAUGGCUGCGGCUGGGAGGCCCAGGUCUGCCCCUGGCUGCUGGUCACUGCAUCUGCUCCCCUCUUUAUAGCCAGGGCAAAGGAAUUAGUAAUACAUUUAAACAGCACUUGUUUCCACAUGCAACUCUUGUAUUCAGACAGGAAAACAGAGUUUAGGGAGCUCGCUCUAGGCCGAGGUGGGAGAUGGACUCUGUUCCUCAACCUCAGAGAUGCCUCUGGCCCUCACUUCCUUGGGCCUGACUGCCCACUCCUGUUUGCCUAAUCGUCUCAUCCUGCACCAGUUCCUUAGUCAAGGUGUCCACGCAGUUAACGCCCUUUGAAUUUUUCCAUUUACUGGGGUAACCUCACAGUGGUAUCAUAGCCAAUACAUCCUAGUAAACCUUCCAUAGAAGGGCAUAAGCACGUUGAAAGCACCACUUCCUUCCCCAUCUACUCAAAGUUCCACAGUCUUGCCUUUGCUACAUUCACUGGAGCAUCUCACUCUUGACUGGGCACAAUGAAACUAUACCGAGUAAUGAGUGGAAUGAACACAGAACAUUCUGGGCGCAGUAGCCUUUCUCCCCACGCCUACACACUCCUGUGCAUCUACUAGCCCAGGCAGUGGCUGUAGCGCCCACUUCUGGCAAGGCACCAUCUUUGCAUGCAGUACUUCCUGGUGGCAUGCUGGCUACCAGCCAGCACUCAGCAGCUGCAUGGAAAGACUCUCCAUUUUCAUAGUGGCGUGUUUUCCCAUGCAGUGCAAACAGCACAUUUCUGCUUAAAUGAGAUCUCGUGUUCCAUUUUCUAACGAUCAAAAGGAGAAAGUUACAUGCCUCAGCCUGAGUUCUCAGAAGCAUUAGCCACCCCACCCUGUUCUCCAGAAGCUGCACCCUGUGUGACAUGCUCAGUUCUCAGAAGCAUCAUCAAACACAUGCAGCGGAUGAACUCAACCAGCCCCUUCAGUCUUAACGUGACUGCCUGCUACGCCAAUUCUCAGGGUUGUUAGCCAGCCGGAACCAUCUUUGAAUCCAAGCAGUUUUACCAGCUUUUAUUAUAAACACCAGCACAUUUCACGAUUCCUUUUUGAUCACAAAUAUAGGACUUUUUUCUUCUCCUCUCAAGUGUACAGCAUGAGACACAGCGUUAGGGCUUUCCGGCUCUUACAGAAAUUUCUUUAAUCUAAGUGCAG